AAUCUACGUCAAUCGUAUCACCAAUGGAACGAUUUGCAAUGACAUUGCGUUGGUAAUAAUGACUUAAAAAAAUUCAAGUCUUCGUCCAUAUUAUCUGCAGUGUUAUUCUUCACGCAAUUUAACAACUCUAAUUCGAAAUCAGUUGGCGAUUCGCACUUACGUUUCUUGGAAGAUCGUGUUUCUUUGGUAACGCUGGAGCUGGUGCUAGGUAUAUUAAUCAAAUCUUCUUCAAUAAUCGUAUUAUUUUGUGAAGUUCUCGGUGACGCGUUUUGCUCUACUGACUGAUUAAAAUUGUCUGCCGAUUCUUCUCCUUGAGUAUUCGAGUUUGAAUCUAAAAAUGACAGCAUGUCAUAGUAAAUGUAUGUUUUAUUUGCCCUGGAACCGGAGCCUGAUUUAAGUUUUUUUUUAGUAGACCUCACUCUUAUAUAAGUGUCUCUUGCAGUUUUCCAUCUUUGCUGCAGCUUUUUCACUGAAACAAUAACACAGGUAUUUUAUUUUAUUACAGAUAUUUAGUCAGUGGACAUACCUUCGUCGAUAUUCAUCUGGCGUAUCAUACAGGACUAACCACGGUCAGAAAAAUAGUAACAGAAGUUUGUCAAAUUAUAAUUGAAAGGUUAAAGGAAGAAUGUAUACCAAAAUUUUCCCGUGCGCUAUGGGAAGAGACUGAAAAAGGUUUUUUAACGCAAGCCCAGUUUCCUAACUGCAUAGGUGCAAUAGACGGAAAACAUAUACGCAUUAUAAGACCUCCACAUAGUGGUUCCCUCUAUUACAACUAUAAGCAUUACUAUUCUAUUGUACUGCUUGCAAUGUGUAACGCCAACUAUGAGUUUACCUAUAUAAACGUGGGAGUGCAGGGUAAAGAAUCUGACUCCGCAAUUUUCACACAAAGCCGAUUGUACGAACAAAUCAACAAUGACUUAAUAGAUAUUCCUCCUGCCAAAGCAUUGCCCGUAAUACACAAUGAUAAACCAACAAACAUUGCUGCAACCGCAGCUUUGCCCUAUAUUAUUGUAGGAGAUGAAGCAUUUGGGUUAUCUAGCCAUGUCAUGCGGCCAUAUGCUCGAGCUCUCGAUUUAAACUACAAAAAAAAAA
rnacentral:misc_RNA from 1 species